CCCAAUCCAUGUUAAAUCUCGCUCAAGAAUCGUAGGGAGCUCGCCCGGGCAUGAAUUGAGGGUUCUGUAAGGCUUGGGCGACAGUUUUGGACGCCUGGGCUUCGAGCAGCCGUCGCUCGGGCAUCGGGUCCGUUGCCCAGGCGAGGACGGUGAUUUCCUGUCGCAAAAUUUGCGCUUCUGUUGCCUGGUGCUCGCCUGGGCUUCGGGUUUUCUCCCUUCUUG
rnacentral:lncRNA from 1 species